AAUAAGCUAUUAGGUGAAUGACUUGGCUUAACCGCUGACGAAGGGCGUGGCAAGCUGCGAUAAGCUGCGGCAAGGUGCAUGCGACCAUUGAACCGCAGAUGCCCGAAUCAGAAUCUGAAUCCUUCGGGAUUGUUCCGCGAGGAACGGGAACGCAGGGAAUUGAAACAUCUUAGUACCUGCAGGAAAAGAAAUCAAUCGAGAUGUGGUGAGUAACAGCGAGCGAAAUCCACACAAGGCAAACUGAAUCCUGCGCAGCAAUGCGCUGGAGAUGUGGUGUUGCAGGACUCUUUUUUAACAACCAAUUUAGACGGGAAGUGAACUGGAAAGUUUUGCCGAAGAGGGUGAAAGCCCCGUACUGGAAUGAAUUGGCUGUGUAAGAGUAUCCUGAGUACCGGACAUCGGAUUUUGUCCGGGAAACUCCGAGUAAUCAACUUGGAACCUUAAAUACGUGUUAAGACCGAUAGUGUACAAGUACCGCGAGGGAAAGUUGAAAAGAACCCAUGACUGGGUGUGAAAAGCAUCUGAAACCUAAUAGUUAUAGUUUGUUGCGGCCCUUCGGGGUUGCAACGUACGUUUCGAAUAACGUGCCAGGGAGUGCAUUUGAGCAGCAAGGUUAACCGAAAGGGGAGCCGAAGCGAAAGCGACGAGCCCGCAAGCAAUGAGGGGCGAGGUAUGAAAGUGCCUGGAGUUGCUUGAAUGCAACCCGAAACCGUGUGAUCUAGCCCUGGGCAAGGUGAAGCGUGGGUAAAACCGCGUGGAGGCCUGCAGAGGUUCUGUGGACAAGCGUUCUUCUGACUUGGGGCUAGGGGUAAAAAGCCCAUCGAACACGGUGAUAGCUGGUUCCUUCCGAAAUAGGCGGUAGUCUAGUCUGCGCAGAGUAUGCUAUGACUGUAGAGACACGGAUCAGGGUUUUAGGCUCCGAAAGGAGUCAGACCCUUGUCCAACUCCAAAUAUUAUAGCUACAUAGAAGCGUGGAAACGGGUCAUCCGGGGUAAGCUCGGUGAGCGUGAGGGGAACAUCCCAGACCACAGUUAAGGUCCCUAAAUAUUGAUUAAGUGUUAACGGUUAAAAGGUGUUUACGGCCAAAGACAGCGAGGAGGUUGGCUUAGAAGCAGCCACCCUUUAAAAAGUGCGUAACAGCUUACUUGUCAAGGUCGUAAGCCCUUAAAAUGGACGGGGCUAAAUCAAUUACCGAUACUGCGGAGCUCGAAAGAGUAUGGUAGGAAGGCGCCUUAUGAGGGCAGAACUUAAUCCGAGAGGAAAAAGGGACCUCAUUGGGAUGAAGAUCCUGGCGGUAGUAGGAUCAUAGAGGAGUGAGAACCUCCUCCGCCGAAAGGGCAAGGGUUCCUCGGCAAUGUCUGUCAGCCGAGGGUUAGUCGAUCCUAAGCACACUCCUAAUUGGACGUGCGCGAAAGGGAAUCCGGUUAAUAUUCCGGAACUAUUUUUGUAUGUGCGGCAACGCAAGCCUUGAAUAUGACACUUCCGGAUACAUAAGCGCAUCUUCUCAGGUGCGUAAAUUGGCAUAGGCCUGUGGAGUCUUGUAACGAGGAGAAGCAGGGCAAAGCCGAAAUUAGUUCCCAGCAAUGGGAAUCUUGUGAAGUCCAGGAGUCCUUGAAAAGUAGUCAGGGAAAAAUCAGAAAUAUUCGUACCCAGAACCGGCACAGGUGCCCCUAGGUGAGUAGCCUCAGGUGUGUAGGUGAUAAUCCAGCCCAGGGAAGUCGGCAAAUUAGCCCCGUACCUUCGGUAUAAGGGGUCCCUGGAUUAGUCGCAAGGCUUUUUCAGGGCGCAGUGACUAAGAGGAUCCGACUGUUUAACAAAAACUUAGCUUACCGCGAAGCUGCAAAGCAGUGUAUGGUAGGCGACGCCUGCCCAGUGCCAGUAAUUCAAACUCCUUUCCAAGGGAGCUAAGAUCUGGUAAACGGCGGGAGUAACUAUAACUCUCUUAAGGUGAAAUUUCUUUGCCUUAAACAAAUCGGACCAUUUGCUGGAACGUCUCGGAGAAACUUCGUAGCAAAUUAUUUUGGCGACAGAAUAAUUAUCUAAAAAUCGAAGCGGAGAGAUAAUCAGCAGGAAAGAACUCUUAUGAAAUGUGAGGUGGCUAAAAUUUGCUAGUACUUCAUGGCAAAGCCAUGUUGUAUUUUGUCAAUUAUGCCAUCUCGACCCUUCAUGAGCGAAAUACCUUGUCGUUUGAUUGACGACGUGCAUGAAUGGCGUAACGAGAUCCUCACUGUCCCGGGUUGGAAGCCUCCGAACACAAACUCCUGGUGCAGAGACCAGGGAUCUCCAGUGGGAAGCGAAGACCCCGUGAAACUUUACUGUAGCUUGUAGCUGCGGUGUGGAACGGACUGUGUAGCGUAGCUAGUAGACGUCAAAGCCAGGUCGCUAGAUUUGGUGUAGUCGACAAUGAAACACUAGUCUGUCUGUUCUACGUCGCUAACGUCGCAAGACGAACAACUGCAGGUGGACAGUUUGGCUGGGGUGGCACGCUGUUGAAAAGAUAUCAAUAGCGCUCAAAGGUUGGCUCAGGCGGGUCGGAAAUCCGCCGUUGAGUGCAAAGGCAUAAGCCAGCCUGACUGGAAGUGCGAUAAGACCACAUCCAGAGACGAAAGUCGGACUUAGCGAACCUCAGAACCUCAUUGAUGGAAGUCUGAGAUGACCGAAAAGUUACUCCGGGGAUAACAGAGUCGUCUCGCCCGAGAGCUCAUAUCGACGGCGAGGCUUGCUACAUCGAUGUCGGCUCGUCCUAUCCUGGCCGUGCAGAAAUGAUGAAAACUGUCAAAGGUUUUCAGCGUGGCGCAAUUUAUUGCGUGCAUGUUCGGCUGAGAAUAAGAUGGAACGAAUUGAUCGUGGUCUUUUGCUUCAUAUAAUCGAAAGACUCAUGAUUCACUGAGUCCAUUCUCCACUUAGCUGCCACUGUUGGCGGCCAAGGGUGGGGGUGUUCACCCAUUAAAAGGGCUCGUGAGCUGGGUUCACAACGUUGUGAGACAGUUGGUUUGAUAUCUACUGGAGAUGCUGAAUGACUGAGAGGAAGGAAGAUCUAGUACGAGAGGAACGAUCUUUCGACGCCACUGGUGGAUCGGCUGUCCGAGCGGGCAAGCCGAGCAGCUACGCGUUAUGCUGAUAAGCUCUGAAAGCAUCUAAGAGCGAAGCGGCCCCCGAAAAGAGUCAUUCUGGGCGGCAGUAAAAGACUGCGUUGAUAGAGCUGGGGUGUAAGCACGAAGGUAACGACGUGUUCAGCCCGCAGCAACUAAUAGCCCGUACCUCUCUUUC
rnacentral:rRNA from 1 species